GGCCGCUUCCCGCCACUCCCCGCCUCGACACUUUUUUCUCCCUCGCCCUCUCUGCAGCCUUCUGGUCUGUCCGCCUGUCCGCGUGCGUGUCUCUCGCUCUGGUCUCUGUCUCUCCAUCUCUUGGGGUGCCUGCACCUCGGCCUCCCUCCCUCUCCGGCUGCUCCCGCGUCUCUCCCUGGGUGUCCGCCUCUCCCUUGCGCUGCCUGUCUGUGGCUCCUGCCAUCUGUCAGCUUUUGCUUUGCUCGCUGCUGUUUCCGUCUCUGACUUUGACCCCCUUGUUCUGGCGGAUGCGGCCUCCACUUCUCUCUGGAUCACGGUAUCAUCACCGCUUCUGGCUGUCUUUGCUCAGAAAAUUCUUGCUGCUGUAUUGAGAACAGAUUGAGAAAACAAGGGCAGAAGCAGGGAGACCAGUCAGGAGCUGAUUGCAGUGUCAGGCUGGUCUGGAACUCCUGAACUGAAGCUAUCCUCUUGACUUGGCCUCCCAAAAUGCUGGAAUUACAGGCAUAGGCCACUGUACCUGGUGAUCUGUGUCUUAUAUGGUAAGUCAUUUCAGACCUUUUUGGAAAGAAUGUGGGUAAAAACAGCAGCUCCAAAGACAUUGUCAUAUUUCACUUUAGAUGCUGUAUGAUUUUUUGGGGAGUUGCUAACAACUGGCCCCAAAAUGAAGGGGCUGCUGAUCAUGUGCAGUCACACCAGGUCCUGUUGCUGGUUGGAGGGGUUGCCUUGAGAGUGAACAGAAGCCAGCUUGAAGUUUAGUGAGGCAGCAAGAUUGGAAGGGGAAUUAGGGAGGACAUGAGAAGAUGAGACAAUAGGAAGCUUGACAAGGGAAGACAGGAGGAGAGAUCAGAGGAGCAAAG
rnacentral:lncRNA from 13 species